UACGUGGGGGGCGAGCGUUGUUCGGAAUUACUGGGCGUAAAGGGCUUGUAGGCGGCCGUCUAAGUCAGACGUGAAAUCCCCAGGCUCAACCUGGGAACUGCGUCUGAUACUGGAUGGCUUGAAUCCGGGAGAGGGAUGCAGAAUUCCAGGUGUAGCGGUGAAAUGCGUAGAUAUCAGGAGGAACACCGGUGGCGAAGGCGGGUCUCUGGGCCGAUACUGACGCUGAGGAGCGAAAGCGUGGGGAGCGAACAGG
rnacentral:rRNA from 1 species